rnacentral:rRNA from 1 species
UACGUAGGGGGCGAGCGUUGUCCGGAUUUAUUGGGCGUAAAGAGCUCGUAGGCGGUUCGAUAAGUCAGGUGUAAAAACUCCAGGCUCAACUUGGAGAGGCCACCUGAUACUGUCGUGACUAGAGUCCGGUAGAGGAGCACGGAAUUCCUGGUGUAGCGGUGAAAUGCGCAGAUAUCAGGAGGAACACCUGCGGUGUAGACGGCUUACUGGACCGUAACUGACGCUGAGGCACGAAAGCGUGGGUAGCAAACAGG